rnacentral:sRNA from 1 species
CCGUCAAGGUCACCUUCAGGUCCGGCCUCUAGGAGAAUCAGCAGCAUGAGUACGUUUAAUCGAUCUGCUAGCGUAGAUUCCAAGUUGGGUGCAUCUCCUGGGCCCAAAGGGAAAGAAGACCAACAACAUCUUCAACUGCCAUCCAUUAAACUUCCUUUUCUCCAGUCCGCACCAUUACCAGGGAUCAGCAGUUCUAUUGCCAAAAACCUGGCUGGUGGUGGCUUCAUUAGUAAAGUUUUACUGGCCAAUGCAGAUGCUCUUUGUGCGGCAGCUUCCCCACUUAUUG